GGUAUUUCGCGCUCGUUCUACUGAUUGUAUUUGCUACUAUUCUUUCACCAGUUAUUUUUGCAGCAAGUUGUGCGCCGGGAAAUGUCAUGCCGCCUUUUUUAGAGGGUACUAGUUCGCCCCCUCCCCGACCAGUAUAUUCCUGACAUAAUUCACAAUAAGAAUGAAAAUGACCAUCAUUAACAUAUGUAUCAGCCGAAGCUUGCGAAAGAAUCCAAUAGAAAUGGAAAAACUCGAAGCCGUGAGAGAGGAAAAUAUCCUUAGAUGGCCAUUCAACAAUUUCUGAUAUAACAUCGAAAUCAGCCGCAACAUCAAGAUUAAUCACGAGCCCCUUAAAGCCAUGAGGCCAAGAAUGGUCCUUUCGAGAUCUCUCAUUUCGAUCUCCACCGGUUUAUGGGAGUAGUUCUGGCCAGCCUUGCCAGGUUCAGGUUUCGGCGCUGGUUUAGUAAUCCCCGAACCCAACUUAUAUGCCUUCUUAAUCCUGCCAAUAUCUGACACCAGACGGAGGUUAUCGUCGUCAAAAGUAAGUGAGAUUCCCUUGACCACUUCCCCCAGAUGUUGAGCUACGGACUCAUUUGUCACCCCUGGUGGCAUGGAAACUUUUACCACUAUUAAAUCCUUUGUGGCGUCGGUCAACCCAAAUUUUCGAAAGGAUUCUGCAAUCUAUCCAGCAGUCAGUAAUACCCAUCUAAAUACCGUGGGAAAAUGAUCAAGAUAGAACGAUGGCACGGACAUUAUUAUUAGCGCUGAGCGAAUAUACUAUUUCCGAAUGAACAUUCUUCGACUUCAACCGGUUGUUUUGGUGGUCAUUAAGUGCUCGAAACACAGCUGCAAGCAGGUGGGUAGUAGAGAGUAUCUAUCGGCCUUUCAGGUUAGAACUUUUUCAACAGAACCAAAUGCCCCUCGUGUGCGGGGUCUGGGGCAAUAAUCCCACCGUUGCAGCGUCGAUGAAGGUAUAUUCAAAUUCAGUAUUUCCAGCAAGUAGUUGCUCCCUUAGAAACGAUGCAUUUUGGAGAUCUCGAUAUAACGCGAUAUGCACUGGGCUGUUCGAGGGCAGAUGGGAAAGCUGGAUAGUCUGAAUGGAGGGCAUGUUUAAAGAACGGCAUAAAGAUGGUGCCUCACAUCCAAGGGAAAAACAACGUUGGCAGGGACGGAUGGAACCCGCAUGGUCUUUAAAUA
rnacentral:sRNA from 1 species